GAUGAACGCUGGCGGCAGGCCUAACACACGCAAGACGAGCGCCCCGCAAGGGGAGCGGCGCACGGGUGCCUAACGCGUGGGAAUAUGCCCUUGGGUGCGGAACAACGUCUGGAAACGGACGCUAAUACCGCAUAAUGACUCCGGUCCAAAGAUUUACCGCCCAAGGAUUAGCCCGCGUUGGAUUAGCUAGUUGGUGAGGUAACGGCUCACCAAGGCAACGAUCCAUAGCUGGUCUGAGAGGAUGAUCAGCCACACUGGAACUGAGACACGGUCCAGACUCCUACGGGAGGCAGCAGUGAGGAAUAUUGGACAAUGGGCGAAAGCCUGAUCCAGCCAUGCCGCGUGAGUGAUGAAGGCCUUCGGGUUGUAAAGCUCUUUCGGUUGUGAAGAUUAUGACGGUAGCAACAGAAGAAGCCCCGGCUAAAUUCGUGCCAGCCGCCGCCGUAA
rnacentral:rRNA from 1 species